GCCCAUGUAGUUUAGUCGGUAAAACGUUACUUUCGUAAAGUAAAAAUCAGGGUUCGAUUCCUUGCUUAGGCU